rnacentral:tRNA from 1 species
GGAAGUAGCUCAGUGGUAGAGCACAUGCUUAGCACGUAUGAGGUCCUAGGUUCAAUUCCCAGUACCUCCA